rnacentral:misc_RNA from 1 species
GAUGAAGAACGUAGCGAAAUGCGAUAAGUAAUGUGAAUUGCAGAAUUCAGUGAAUCAUCGAAUCUUUGAACGCACAUUGCGCCCGCUAGUAUUCUGGCGGGCAUGCCUGUCCGAGCGUCAUUUCAACCCUCAAGCCCCCGGGCUCGGUGUUGGGGAUCGGCGAGCCUCCGCGCCCGCCGUCCCCUAAAUCUAGUGGCGGUCUCGCUGUAGCUUCCUCUGCGUAGUAGCACACCUCGCACUGGGAAACAGCGCGGCCACGCCGUUAAACCCCCAACUUCUGAACGUUUGACCUCGGAUCAGGUAGGAAUACCCGCUGAACUUAAGCAUAUCAAUAAGCGGAGGA